rnacentral:rRNA from 1 species
AAUCGAACUCGGAGAUAGCUGGUUCUCCUCGAAAUAGCUUUAGGGCUAGCCUCAGGAAGAAGUAUCGUGGGGGUAGAGCACUGAAUGGUCUAGGGGCGUUAUACGUUACCAAAACCUAUCAAACUCCGAAUACCAUAGAUAUAAACCUGGGAGUCAGACUGUGUGAGAUAAGUUUCAUAGUCAAAAGGGAAACAGCCCAGAUCACCAACUAAGGUCCCAAAAUACAGAUUAAGUGGAAAAGGAUGUAAAACUACACAGACAACCAGGAUGUUGGCUUAGAAGCAGCCACACAUUAAAAGAGUGCGUAAUAGCUCACUGGUCGAGAGGUUUUGCGCCGAAGAUGUCCGGGGCUAAAACUUACCACCGAAACCAUGGCAAUGAUGCAAUGCAUUGUUGGGUAGGGGAGCAUCCUGCAUGGAUAGAAGCAGUACCGUAAGGAGCUGUGGACUAUGCAGGAGAGAGAAUGCUGGCAUAAGUAGCGAAAGGAAGGUGAGAAUCCUUCCCGUCGAAAACCUAAGGUUUCCUGAGGAAGGUUCGUCCACUCAGGGUUAGUCGGGACCUAAGUCGAGGCCGAAAGGCGUAGAUGAUGGACAAUCGGUUGAAAUUCCGAUACCACCUUUAAGCGUUUAAGAAAAGGGGUGACGCAGGAGGAUAAGCUGAGCGCACGGAUGGAAAAGUGCGUCUAAGAACUAAGUCAGACCUUCAAGGAAAAUCCGGGAGGUGACGAUAAGGUUUAAUGGGGAGCCGUAAGGCGAAGCAGCUAAGUUCACACUGUCAAGAAAAGCCUCUAUCGAGCAAGAAGGUGCCCGUACCGCAAACCGACACAGGUAGGCAAGGAGAGAAUCCAAAGAUGAGCGGAAGAACUAUUGUUAAGGAACUAGGCAAAAUGACCCCGUAACUUCGGGAGAAGGGGUGCCGGGAGGUGUGAAGAUUGAACAAUUGGAGCACAACCCGGCCACAGAAAACAGGCCCAAGCGACUGUUUAGCAAAAACACAGGUCUCUGCUAAAUCGAAAGAUGAAGUAUAGGGGCUGACGCCUGCCCGGUGCUGGAAGGUUACGGGGAUCUGUUAGCGCAAGCGAAGCAGUGAACUUAAGCCCCAGUAAACGGCGGCCGUAACUAUAACGGUCCUAAGGUAGCGAAAUUCCUUGUCAGGUAAGUUCUGACCCGCACGAAAGGCGUAAUGACUUGGGCACUGUCUCAACAAUGCACCCGGUGAAAUUGUAGUACUUGUGAAGAUGCAAGUUACCCGCGACAGGACGGAAAGACCCCAUGGAGCUUUACUAUAGAUUGUUAUUGGGAUCUGGUAUUGUCUGUAUAGGAUAGGUGGGAGACUGUGAAGCACCGGCGUCAGUUGGUGUGGAGUCAUCCUUGGAAUACCACUCUGACAGUAUUGGUUCUCUAACCGAUGGCCGUAAUCCGGUCACGGGACAUUGGCAGUCGGGUAGUUUGACUGGGGCGGUCGCCUCCCAAAAAGUAACGGAGGCGUUCAAAGGUUACCUCAGUACGGUUGGAAACCGUGCAUCGAGUGCAAAGGCAUAAGGUAGCCUAACUGCGAGACCUACAAGUCGAGCAGAUGCGAAAGCAGGACUUAGUGAUCCGGCGGUAGAAAGUGGAAUUGCCGUCGCUCAACGGAUAAAAG